rnacentral:lncRNA from 1 species
AGACUCCCACCGCCCAGAGGGCGUCCCCUGCAGGAGAGCUUCAUGCGCCUGGUGGAGGCCUGUGGGGACUCGGAGCAAAGCAUGGACAACUGGCUGAGUCGGCUGGACGGCUGCCGCUGACUGUAACAUGUAAAGCAGGCACUGAGCACCACCUGCCUGGCAGUCCAGGGCAUGGAGAGAUGCCGUGUGAAGGGAGGACUCAGAUGCACUCCCUGUGGUCUGGGCUCAACCAGCCAAAAGAGCAACAAAGACUCCAGAACCCACUCUACCUCCUCAAUCCCUUGGCCAUCUGUGGAGCCCCAGAGCCUGCGGCUGUGGCAAGGCCUGUUUCUGCGCUGGACCUGCUCACCUGAGCCUGCAGAAGCUGCAUGGGGGAAGAGUGUGGCAAAUAGUGACAGGAAGGGAGAAGACAGAAGCCUCUCAGCCAACUGCUUCAGCCGAGCCCCUAUUCUAAGCACUGGCUCCUUGGAUAGCAGCUGAGAUGUUCCUGAAACCUCUGCAGGCCCCUUAGGACCUUUACACCUUGGAUGAGGGUGCCUGCAACCCAGGUUAGCCAAAAGUACUGAGGGUCUUAAGUUUGAAGUGUCCAAAGUAUAGGGAGGUCUCAAUAAUAAAAGUCUCC